UUCCUUCCAAACUGGGAUUAGAUACCCCACUAUGCUUAGCCUUAAACCUAAAUAAUUUCCUAACAAAAUUAUUCGCCAGAGAACUACAAGCCAGAGCUUAAAACUCAAAGGACUUGGCGGUGCUUUAUACCCGCCUAGAGGAGCCUGUUCUAUAAUCGAUAAACCCCGAUAAACCUACCACUC
rnacentral:rRNA from 1 species